GAUCCUGGCUCAGGAUGAACGCUGGCGGCGUGCCUAACACAUGCAAGUCGAACGGAGAUUACGGACGGAAGUUUUCGGAUGGAAGUUUGUAAUUCUUAGUGGCGGACGGGUGAGUAACGCGUGGGCAACCUGCCCUAUACAGGGGGAUAGCAGCUGGAAACGGCUGGUAAGACCGCAUAAGUCGGCGAAACCGCAUGGUUUUGUCGGGAAAUGAGUAAUCAGGUAUAGGAUGGGCCCGCGUCCGAUUAGCCAGUUGG
rnacentral:rRNA from 1 species